rnacentral:rRNA from 1 species
UACGUAGGGGGCAAGCGUUGUCCGGAAUCAUUGGGCGUAAAGCGCGUGUAGGCGGCUUGGUAAGUCCGUUCUGAAAGCCCGGGGCUCAACCCCGGGAGGCGGAUGGAUACUGUCAAGCUCGAGUCCGGAAGAGGCGAGUGGAAUUCCAGGUGUAGCGGUGAAAUGCGCAGAUAUCUGGAGGAACACCAAUGGCGAAGGCAGCUCGCUGGGACGGUACUGACGCCGAGACGCGAAAGCGUGGGGAGCAAACAGG